rnacentral:rRNA from 1 species
AUUGAACGCUGGCGGUAUGCUUAAGACAUGCAAGUCGAACGGUAACAGACCUUCGGGUGCUGACGAGUGGCGGACGGGUGAGUAACACGUGGGAAUCUACCUUGUAGUGGGGGAUAAGCCAGGGAAACUUGGACUAAUACCGCAUACGCCCCAAGGGGGAAAGGCGCAAGUCGCUAUAAGAUGAGCCCGCGUCUGAUUAGCUAGUUGGUGAGGUAAAGGCUCACCAAGGCGACGAUCAGUAGCUGGUCUGAAAGGAUGGCCAGCCACAUUGGGACUGAGACACGGCCCAGACUCCUACGGGAGGCAGCAGUCGGGAAUAUUGGACAAUGGGGGCAACCCUGAUCCAGCAAUACCGCGUGUGUGAAGAAGGCCUGCGGGUUGUAAAGCACUUUUAGUAGGGAAGAUAAUGACGUUACCUACAGAAAAAGCACCGGCUAACUCCGUGCCAGCCGCCGCGGUAAAAC